rnacentral:lncRNA from 1 species
CCCGAGUAGCUGGGACUACAGGCGCCCGCCACUGCGCCCGGCUAAUUUUUUGUAUUUUUAGUAGAGAGGGGGUUUCACCGUGGUCUCGAUCUCCUGACCUCGUGAUCCGCCCGCCUCAGCCUCCCAAAGUGCUGGGAUUACAGGCGUGAGCCACCGCGCCCGGCCAGUUCAAUGGAUUUUAAAAAUUAUUAUUCUCUAGAAAAAAGACCACGAACUUUGGAGUGGACAUCCUGAGACCUGCCUACGAAGACCAUUAGGGUAAAGAAGUCACCCCUUCACCCCAGGACCAGGAAGCCUCCAGGAUGGCAUAAGCGACCAAACAGCUGGGAGCCAAGCACAGUGCAGGGGGCUUGGGGUCGGCGGCCGGAGGCUGGGUGGCCUCCAGAAGACACUCCCCUGAUUCCUACACCGAGGGAACACACAGCAGCAAGCUAGGAAAGAAGGGGUGACCCAGCCCAACGCUGUAAACCAGGGCGCGAACCGGCGUUGAGCUGUGCAGCUGCGCCCUGGGCUCCAGUCCUGCUCUGCCGCAGACCCCACCGGAGCCAGCACCUGCCUCCCCGACCCUCGCUGGGGCGGCUGUGAGAUGAGCCCAGAGCCUUCCUGAGCCAACCCUCGCAAGGAAAGUCUGUCUGUUCACCCCACUAUCCUUGUCUUGAAGGAUGAAGAAAAGAGGGCCCCCCGGGAGGUCCCAAAAGGUGGAAUGGACAUCUGGGAUCCAAGCACAGCAAUUUCUUUAUUUUUCUUAAGGUAUCCAGCUUGUUGGAAUCUAAGAUCUGCGAAGCCUCUCACUAGAGGAUGAAAAUCGUUCUGCAUAAAGGCCUGGGCUUUAUGAAAAAUAUAUUCACACCUCCCGUGUCCGAGCUGGGAUACCAAAGAAGUUCCUGGUUGAGUACUACUUAUGAAUGAAGGAUUCAGGGGAUGCACAGAGGAAUCUGGGGGAUAUUAUGGUUCUGGGAAUGUGGAAUGUAACGUCUCAUCUUCAGCCCAUCUGUGCUACUGAUCAUCUCAUUCCAGAAGCCAUGCCUUCUCUCAGGAGCAGACAGCACAAGACUUUCCUGCCAGAGGCACAGUCCCCAGUGGGAGUAGCAUCCACAUAAGACAGGAUGCAGAGAUGUCUUCAAGCAGCUUCAAACAAAACUUCAAGAAAGAAAGUGCAAGUGAAAAAGGAAAUUCAUCCUUCCAGUCACUUAACACAGCACUGUCACGGACACCUUGUGCCUCCUUAAAAUUCGUAUACUGAAGUUCUAAGCCCCAGUACCCCAGAAUGUGACCUUCUUUGGAAAUAGGGUCAUUGCAGAUAUGAUUAGUUAAGAGGAGAUCAUACUGGAGUGGGCUUUAAUCCAAUAUGACUGGUGUCCUUAUGUAAAGGGGAAAUUUGGACACAGACACACACAAGGAGAACACCAUGUGAACUGAAGUCAAAGAUUUGGGUGAUGCUUCUACAAGCCAAGAAAUGCCAAAGAUGACCAGCAAAGCACCGGCAGCUGGUGGAGGAGCCUGGACCAGAUUCUUCCUCACAGCCCUCAAAAGGAACCAAUCUUGCCAAAGCUUUGACUUAGACUUCUAGCCCCCUGUGAUGGUUAAUGUUAAGUGGCAGCUUGACUGGGUUAAGGGAUGCCCAGAUAGCUGGUAAGACAGUAUGUCUGUGUGCAUCUCUCAGAGUGUUUCUGGACAAGAUCAGCAUUUGAAUCCUUAGAGUAAAGAAGAUCUGCCCUCACCCACGUGCAUCACCCUAUCUCUGGAGAGCGCGAACAAACAGGAGGAAGGGCACAUAUGCUCCUUCUGUUCCAGCUGGCACAUCCAUCUUCUCCUGCCCCCUGACUUCAGAGCUCCUGGUUCUCGGGCCUCAGGAUUCCAGCACUUACAUGAGAGCGUGCUUCCCCCUCCCUACUCCACCCCUAGGUUCUCCGCCCUUUGGCCUCUGACUGAAUUCCACCACCAGCUUUUCAGGGUCUCCAGCUUGCAGACGGCAGAUCGUGGGACUUCUUGGCCUCCAUAAUUAUGUAAGCCAAUUCCCAUAAUAAAUCUCCUAUCUAUCUAUCUAUCUAUCCAUCUAUCAAUCAUCUAUCUAGUCUAUCUAUCUAUCUAUCUCUAUCCUAUUGAUUCUGUGUCUCUGAGGAACCCUAAUACACCUCCAGAACUGUGAGAUGAUACAUUUCUGUGGUUUAAGCCACUCAGAAGGUGGUACUUUGUUUCACCAGGCCUAGCAAACUAAUACAAGUGCAUGGAAGGUGACUACUCAUGACUGCAACUUAGAGAACAAGGGUUAUAAUAAAAAUAAAAGUGUUAUACAAAGGUGGCAAGAUAAAUGACAAUAAAUGAAAAUAUUAACAUGUGAAUUAAAAAGUAAAGAUAUUUUUCCUAGCAUUCUCCCAGAAAGUAGAGACGCGUCUCUCUUGUUUGC